rnacentral:rRNA from 1 species
GACGAACGCUGGCGGCGUGCUUAACACAUGCAAGUCGAACGGAAAGGCCCUGCUUUUGUGGGGUGCUCGAGUGGCGAACGGGUGAGUAACACGUGAGUAACCUGCCCUUGACUUUGGGAUAACUUCAGGAAACUGGGGCUAAUACCGGAUAGGAGCUCCUGCUGCAUGGUGGGGGUUGGAAAGUUUCGGCGGUUGGGGAUGGACUCGCGGCUUAUCAGCUUGUUGGUGGGGUAGUGGCUUACCAAGGCUUUGACGGGUAGCCGGCCUGAGAGGGUGACCGGCCACAUUGGGACUGAGAUACGGCCCAGACUCCUACGUGAGGCAGAAGUGGGGAAUAUUGCACAAUGGGCGGAAGCCUGAUGCAGCAACGCCGCGUGCGGGAUGACGGCCUUCGGGUUGUAAACCGCUUUCGCCUGUGACGAAGCGUGAGUGACGGUAAUGGGUAAAGAAGCACCGGCUAACUACGUG